rnacentral:rRNA from 1 species
UACGUAGGUGGCAAGCGUUGUCCGGAUUUACUGGGCGUAAAGAGCGCGCAGGCGGUCGUUCAAGUCGCGUGUGAAAGCCCCCGGCUCAACUGGGGAGGGUCACGCGAUACUGAUCGACUCGAAGGCAGGAGAGGGUAGUGGAAUUCCCGGUGUAGUGGUGAAAUGCGUAGAUAUCAGGAGGAACACCAAUAGCGAAGGCAGCUCGCUGGGACGGUACUGACGCUAAGGCGCGAAAGCGUGGGGAGCGAACAGG